UACGUAGGGGGCAAGCGUUGUCCGGAAUUAUUGGGCGUAAAGAGCGUGUAGGCGGUCCGGUAAGUCAGCUGUGAAAGUCAAGGGCUCAACCCUUGAAAGCCGGUUGAUACUGUCGGGCUAGAGUCCGGAAGAGGCGAGUGGAAUUCCCGGUGUAGCGGUGAAAUGCGCGGAUAUCGGGAGGAACACCAAUGGCGAAGGCAGCUCGCUGGGACGGUACUGACGCUGAGACGCGAAAGCGUGGGGAGCAAACAGG
rnacentral:rRNA from 1 species